GCCUGGGUGGCUCAGUCAGUUGAGCACCUGACUUCGGCUCAGGUCAUGAUUUCAUGGUUUGUGGGUUUGAGCCCCACAUCGGGCU
rnacentral:tRNA from 1 species